rnacentral:tRNA from 1 species
GGGGAUUUAGCUCAAUGCUACAGAGUUCUUGCGUAGCAUGCACAUGAGGCCCUGGGUUCAAUUCCCAGCACCUCCU